rnacentral:misc_RNA from 1 species
GGAUAGUUUUUCCACUACAGGCAAGUUUGAUUGUUUUCCUGUUGUGGUUAAUCAAUUCACUUUGUCAUCAAUUCACUUUGUCAACUUUCUUACUUGUUGAAUAAGUAGUCAAGACCUGAUAAGUUAAGUGAAUAAGUAGUAUAUAAUUUACUUCUCAUCUAUCAAAUUGCUCAGAAAUUUGUCCUUGGCUUUUCCUUGUUUAUAGAUUCUAGAUGGUUUUGACUGCUAUGGAUGCUUCUAUUGGGUAAUCUUUUGGAAAACAUAAUUUUAACAAUAUAUGUAUAAUGCAUACAAACAUUUGCAACAAAACACUGCCAAGAAUGCUGCAAACCAAGGUGCCCUGACAAACGAGGGUGACAGUUUGGCAGGACAUGUCACUUAAUUAUGUUUGUGUCCUGUAAUGGUUUCUAGAAAAUUUACUAUUGAGCCACAAGGUCUGUAGUCUAUGCUGCAAAUGUGGAAGCUAUUCUCUCCCAUGACUUCCCUAGGAGGCAGAGGGACCUUUUGUGUGCACCAGUAUACCAAUAUGAG